AGCGAACGCUGGCGGCAGGCCUAACACAUGCAAGUCGAACGAACCUUUCGGGGUUAGUGGCGGACGGGUGAGUAACACGUGGGAACGUGCCUUUAGGUUCGGAAUAACUCAGGGAAACUUGUGCUCAUACCGAAUGUGCCCUUCGGGGGAAAGAUUAAUCGCCUUUAGAGCGGCCCGCGUCUGAUUCGCUAGUUGGUUGAGGUAAUGGCUCACCAAGGCGACGAUCAGUAGCUGGUCUGAGAGGAUGAUCAGCCACAUUGGGACUGAGACACGGCCCACACUCCUACGCGAGGCAGCAGUAGAGAAUCUUGCGCAAGGGGCGAAAGCCUGACGCAGCCAUGCCGCGUGAAUGAUGAAGGUCUUAGGAUUGUAAAAUUCUUUCACCGGGGACGAUAAUGACGGUACCCGGUGAAGAAGCCCCGGCUAACUUCGUG
rnacentral:rRNA from 1 species